UGGCCUCUUGCAUUCGAGUCUUACAUGAGCCGAAUUUGGUGGAUCAUAAUGUAUUGAUUUUCUUCGUAUUUAUCUUUGAUGGACGAGUAAAGUUACACGUACGAUUAUACCAGAAGAUUUCUACUUCUUUAGGCUAUGGUUUGUAAAAACUUGCAUCCUCUAAAUUGCUUAAUCACUUGUUUUGAACUAUUUUUCUAGCAAUUAAAAGCAUAUUAUAGCCGUGUUUAAGACGAAAUCUAAAAGUGAUCUUAUAUAUAUAAACCGACCCUAGCUCAUACCAGCAAAUUGGGCAGAUAUAAAAAGUUUGAGGUGCCCCAAUUUUUAAUGGAGUAGGAUUCUCUUUCCUCUUUUUUCCCUCCUCUUUUCUCUCCUCUUAUUUGAACGGUCACAGUUAAGCCACGUCAACAUCUUAUAUUAAUUUUUUAUAGAAAGAGAAAAAUGAAAUAAAGAAUGUGAGAGAAAGAGAUGAAAGAUGAUGAAAAGAAAAGGGAGAGAAUCCUAAUUCAUUUUUAACAUGAUUAUGUUUCAUCAAAGUUAUGCUGCCCCAACUCUUCUGUGGAAAGUAUUCAGUUUGUUGAAUCUUGAUGCAAACGCGAUUUCAUUUGUUGCCAUUUUGUUCUUUUAUUUUCCCACUCGUACUACAUUGCACUGCACGACAAUUUGUACUACAUCUUGCGCGUAUACCUGUACUAAAUUCCAGUACUCCAACAACCUGGCUUAUUUUCCUGUACUGGAUUUUGGUACUCGAACCUUGGUUAUUAUUGAUUCAGAAAUAUAUAUACGUGUGUGUAUAUGGAUCAUCAGUAUAUGGAUAGUUGCAGCAGAAAUCUUUCAGUUUAACAGGAGAAUCACACAGACGCUCCUCUACUUCAACUUCAAGAAUUGGAGGCGAUGCAGUCCAUUCUUAUGGAGUGAGUUCAUCUUUACUGUUCGAUCUAAUGAAUCUAUAUGAAUUUAUGGCAUCCACAAUUGGCACCAAAUUCAUCACCAGAGUGCUACCUUUCUCACCUUCAGCUUCGAAGUCUUCCAACAAGUCCCUUGUCCUUGACCUCAUGCUACUACUUCGAUCUCGUUUCUUUUGUUAGUUAUAUGCAGGCCAUGCAUAAACAAAACCGGGCCGGCCAUUUUUCAUACCUUGGCACCAAAGUCACCACCCGACUGUUAUCGUAUUCAAUUCAUCCUCCAACAAGUCCGUGAUCUCUAUGCGCAAUCUCUUAAUUUAUGAUAAAAUCAACAAAGAAAUGCUAUGAAAAGAAAGUAGUUUGCGGAUAGAGAUAACGAACUUGUCGUAGGAUGAGCUGAAGAUGAUAACAGUCUGGUGGUUACUUUGGUGCCAAGGCAUACAAGAUGGUCACCUUAUUUUACUUUUUUUCAAAAAUCAAAGAUCUUAUGUAACAAAUUAACUAAAAAUGCAAAUAGUUGAUUUAUUUACUCA